UUUAGCCGGAUGAAAGGAAACUUUCACGUCCGAUUUUUAGGGGGGGGGGGUGGGAGAUCCUAUCCCAAU
rnacentral:ncRNA from 1 species